UUCGCCCCUCCGGGCUCAUCUCCGGGGAUUCUCAAGACCCCAACACGCCCCAUUCUUCCUUGCUUGGCUCACGACUUCCCCGAGCUCCGGGAUGCGGUGUCCCACCUCCGUCCACCCCCUCAGUUCUACUCCAGAGCUCAUCACGUCUGCCUUUGGAGCCACCUUCUCCAGGAGGCCUCCCCGCCAGCCUCCCUAUUUCCCACUUUUGCGCAUCUUUGGUCUCUGGAACGUGAAACGGAUUACAAGACAGGAAGUGCCACUUAUUUUCCCAGGCUGAGGGCUGGGGCCCGCAUUGGGUUCAGGGCUGGCAGCGACCGGGGCUGGAGAGACUGAGGUCCAGAGAGGGUCCAGGACUCGGCUGCCUGCCUCUGGCGCUGCGCUUCCAGGCCCGUCGGUCGCUGGGUGAUUUCGGGUUAGCCUCUCUCCAUAGCCGGUGCUUCAGGCUCUGUUUAUUCGACUCUAGAAUGGGGCGCCCUCUGAGAGUGUCUUUCUUAUGAAACAAGCUCAGAUGGCUGCCUUGCCUCUUUCCGAGGGCUCGAACUAGCACCAUAGAGACUAGAGGUGUGGUGGCAGCGGCCAGGAUGGGCGGAGGGGAGUGGAUCAACAUGAAUAGAAGGAGUGGCUGUGUCCAGUGGAGAGACGGAGAGGGCUGCGCGUCUACACAAGUGAAGCAGAGCUUGCAGCGGCUUGAACGAAAUCUGAUUCCAGGCGUCUGCUGACCAGCAGAAUUGUUCCUCUGGGGGAUCCACCCUUUCUUACUAUCUGAGGUCCCAAAACAUAUUCAGAAGUGAAAAGGAGCAGAGAAGAGAAAAAUAGCAGAAAUAAACAAAAACCUAAAAAAAAUUCAACCAAGGCUAAACUUGACCAUGCUUCAACUAAUUGCUCCAAAAUGUCUUGUCCUGUGUUCUCAGACACUGGGGAAACCAAACAUGGACUCACUCUUGGGGAGUUCUGAUGAGGAAGCCAUUUUUUGCUUACUCAGGUGACCUGAGGAGGCUUCUGAGAGGGGAGGAAGUGGAGGUGGGAGAGACAGGCUACAGGGAGUGGAAGUAGUUACGUGGGAUGUCUGUUCCCCACCCUGCUAUACUGUGCCAAGUCUGAGCUCCUCUAGUGGCCUUACAGUACAGACUGGGGAGGAGGGCCACAGACACCUCCUGCUCCCAGUCCCCAUGUCCUUCUGCAUUUUCUGAGCAUUUCGUUCAGAGUUCUCCCCACCUGGAUUCCUGGCAUUUCCCCCUAGACUUUGGUUCAAGCUCCCGCCUCCCUCCUGCUUUUCAGAAUCACAGGGGUUCAGAGGAUGCAGGAAGUGGGGGAAAAGAGAUGGAAACAGAGUCACUUGCCAUCCCCCGUGACAACAGGCACAGCACAAGGGAAUCUGCAGUUACUCAUUGGGAGCCUGCCUGGCUUCCUGCCUGCCUCAUCCCUGCAGUGUGUGCCACCCUCGCCUCCUCCAGUCCUUCAGCCCCUCUCAGAAUCAUGCACACACUGUCUUAAAGAUCCUGCAUAGGAACUCAACGGUGGCAAGGUUCUUCAGUAGAGUGAGAAGGGUGGGGACCUAGAGUGGCCUUGACCUGCAUAAUGAAGGUCAGAGGAAAUGACCUGACCAGGGGAGUCGCCACUCCAGGAUUCUCCAUCCACAUUACUGUUAGGAUACAGGCAAGCUUUGCCUUCUCUGGAUUUCUGGACCAACACCUUAAAGUCUAUAUUCAUGGAAUGGGUCUGGCAGCUCCAGGGAUAUGGGGUGCUUACUACCUCCCCAGGCUGUUCCUUCUUUGGGGGCCAUUUCUUUCUGUGUGUAGGUAUAUUUUAACUCCAACUUGUGGUUUAGUGGAGGGUAGGAGAUCCCUUUGGUAAUAGCAUGGAUUUUGUUCAUUCAUUCACCUCUCACGUAUCACUUAUCCUGGUCUGGCCUUGUGAUGGGGCUAGGGAUUUGAGAAUCACUUAGACACAUCCCCUUCAGGAGAUUCUAGCAUUGCUUGGGCAGGGGUUAGGGAGGAACUCUUGCUGUUGCUAAAGGUGCAUUUAGGAAGAAAACAAAGUUCAUGGAGUACAGGUGAUAAAGAAAGAAUUGUUCAGACUGCCAGAUACAGAAAUAAAGCCCAGGGACCAGUUCUAGAAAGGCCAAUCAUUGAUCCUGAAAAAUGGGACUUAGAGCUGUGUGGGGGAGAGGGAGUGUCAACUAUAGGUACCUCAGUUUAGCUUGUCCUGGGAGCUUGUCCUGGAAGUUUAUUGGAUGGCAGGGGGACCCUAUGAAAGAUAGAGGAGAAAGAAGAAUUGGGCAGAGAGAUCCUUGGACGUUGUACAGAUCUGAAAGUAAAUUCCUGCCAACCCAAUUGUGAGUCCCAGAACAAAGAUUGCACAUAGAAGCCUUAGUCACUCUACUGUGCUUGGUCAAUGGUUGGGGUUGUCAAGAAGAACAUAGUCAUGGCUUAAAUGCUGUGGUGGGCCCUGAAGGUAAUAUAGCUAAGGCUGUCACAUGGCAUGCCCUAUAGCUAAAUGGCACAGGAAAUCCCACAGUGGGGAAACUGAGGCUUGGGAAAUGAAACAGGGAGGGGAGAUUCUGCCAUGCUCUAGGGGAUAAAGAGGAGAACUUGGUCUGCCCUUGGGAGCUCUUAGUCUAGGCACAGAGAAGAAUGACCUGAGAAUUCCUUUCCUCACAAUCAUGGGCUCAGUUUGGUCCAGGGGUCAGCAGUCUAUCACCAGGCAGCUUGGCAUGAGGGUCAUGGUGCCUUGAGUCUGGGAGACUGAAGAGGGAGGGACUGUUCCCUCCCAUUUAUUCUCCAAUAACAGCCACAGACUCUGGUCAAAUGCUUACUGCAGCAGGUACGAGUAUGUCUAUGCAUGUGGGUGUGUGUGCAUGCAUGUAUGCACGUGUAUGCCUUUCCAUAUGUGUCCGUGUCUGUAUGUGUCCUUGUGUAUGGGCAUGGGUCUGUACAGAUUCAUCUGUUCCCAGGUGGGAGUCAGAGUAGGGCUUGGCUGGUUCCCAGGAGAGUAGAGCUGGGGAAAGCUAGGGUCAGAGAGGGAUGAAUCUCAGAGAUGGUGCCCAGGACCACAGACAUCUCCAGACUGUUUCUCAGAGCUCAUUUCUGGGGCAGUAGAUUCCACAGGGAAUGGCAUAUUCAACCAUAGGGAAAGUUCAGAAUGACUCCACAGGGGAGCUCAAAGUUCUCAUUCACUUCCCUACUCCAAGGCCUGUCUUCCUGAGUUGGUAUGUCAUUGACCUUGGGCAGAGAUUUGGAAGAGAGACAUAAUGUGAGUGUGACAAAAUAGACAUUGACUUUAAAUAAACAUAAUGCCACCA